GACGAACGCUGGCGGCGGGCUUAACACAUGCAAGUCGAACGGAAAGGCCCUGCUUUUGUGGGGUGCUCGAGUGGCGAACGGGUGUGUAACACGUGAGUAACCUGCCCUUGACUUUGGGAUAACUUCAGGAAACUGGGGCUAAUACCGGAUAGGAGCUCCUGCUGCAUGGGGGGGGUUGGAAAGUUUCGGCGGUUGGGGAUGGACUCGCGGCUUAUCAGCUUGUUGGUGGGGUAGUGGCUUACCAAGGCUUUGACGGGUAGCCGGCCUGGGAGGGUGACCGGCCACAUUGGGACUGAGGUACGGCGCAGACUCCUACGGGAGGCAGCAGUGGGGAAUAUUGCACAGUGGGCGGAAGCCUGAUGCAGCAGCGCCGCGUGCGGGAAGACGGCCUUCGGGUUGUAAACCGCUUUCGCCUGUGACGAAGCGUGAGUGACGGUAAUGGGUAAAGAAGCACCGGCUAACUACGUG
rnacentral:rRNA from 1 species